rnacentral:rRNA from 1 species
UGGGGAAUAUUGGACAAUGGGCGGAAGCCUGAUCCAGCCAUGCCGCGUGUGUGAAGAAUGCCUUUUGGUUGUAAAGCACUUUAAUCGAGGAGGAGGCUCUUCUAGUUAAUACCUAGGAUGAGUGUACGUUACUCGCAGAAUAAGCACCGGCUAACUCUGUGCCAGCAGCCGCGGUAAUACAGAGGGUGCGAGCGUUCAUCGGAUUUACUGGGCGUAAAGCGUGCGUAGGCGGCUGAUUAAGUCGGAUGUGAAAUCCCUGAGCUUAACUUAGGAAUUGAAUUCGAUACUGGUAAGGUAGAGUAUGGGAGAGGAUGGUAGAAUUCCAGGUGUAGCGGUGAAAAGCGUAGAGAUCUGGAGGAAUACCGAUGGCGAAGGCAGACAUCUGGAAUAAUACUGACGCUGAGGUACGAAAGCAUGGGGAGCAAACAGG